rnacentral:rRNA from 1 species
AUGCCCAUUGUUGUUUCCAAAGUACUUUGCCGGAUUCCCGGAGAUGAAGAAGCAACUUGGGCUGACUUAUACAAUGUUAUGUAUCGAGAAAGGACACUUUUUUUAGUUCACUGCCCUAUACAUAGAAAGAAGUGCUUUUCCACCGGUAUCAACAUUCUAUCUGGAAACAGUAGCGAUAAUUGUUGUAUUGUGAGCCAGCCCCGUAAGACACUACGCAGCUCCAAAUUCUAUAUGAUUUUUCCAAUCAUUUCAUUUAUAUGA